rnacentral:rRNA from 1 species
GCCUAAUACAUGCAAGUUGAGCGCUGAAGGUUGGUACUUGUACCGACUGGAUGAGCAGCGAACGGGUGAGUAACGCGUGGGGAAUCUGCCUUUGAGCGGGGGACAACAUUUGGAAACGAAUGCUAAUACCGCAUAAAAACUUUAAACACAAGUUUUAAGUUUGAAAGAUGCAAUUGCAUCACUCAAAGAUGAUCCCGCGUUGUAUUAGCUAGUUGGUGAGGUAAAGGCUCACCAAGGCGAUGAUACAUAGCCGACCUGAGAGGGUGAUCGGCCACAUUGGGACUGAGACACGGCCCAAACUCCUACGGGAGGCAGCAGUAGGGAAUCUUCGGCAAUGGACGAAAGUCUGACCGAGCAACGCCGCGUGAGUGAAGAAGGUUUUCGGAUCGUAAAACUCUGUUGGUAGAGAAGAACGUUGGUGAGAGUGGAAAGCUCAUCAAGUGACGGUAACUACCCAGAAAGGGACGGCUAACUACGUGCCAGCAGCCGCGGUAAUACGUAGGUCCCGAGCGUUGUCCGGAUUUAUUGGGCGUAAAGCGAGCGCAGGUGGUUUAUUAAGUCUGGUGUAAAAGGCAGUGGCUCAACCAUUGUAUGCAUUGGAAACUGGUAGACUUGAGUGCAGGAGAGGAGAGUGGAAUUCC